CCCAGUUUUUGGUGGGUUAUACUUAUUACCUUUACCUGAGAUCACCCCAGUUUUUGGUGGGAUAUACUUAUUACCUUUACCUGAGAUCACCCCAGUUUUUGGUGGGUUAUACUUAUUACCUUUACCUGAGAUCACCCCAGUUUUUGGUGGGAUAUACUUAUUACCUUUACCUGAGAUCACCCCAGUUUUUGGUGGGUUAUACUUAUUACCUUUACCUGAGAUCACCCCAGUUUUUG